UCCGCCCUCCCGCCCCUCGCCCGGCCUUGGGGGCUGCCGGCUCCCCCUCCUGGCGUCGCACCGGCCCCGCGCCCCCUGCCGGCCGCCGUGCUGCGUUUUCCAGGGCCUGGGGCGCCGAGCCGACAGGAAGGGCAGGCCCCAGGGACCCUCACUCUUGGUCCCCACCAGGUUCCCCAGAUGCUUCUACGACCGUGCGAGCGAGGGUCAGGCCCCCGAGCAUUGCAGGCAGGCGGCCGUCCGCCGGCGAGAUGGGGAGACUUUGGAGUGUGUGUCUUAGCUCUGGAGUCGGGUUUCUCAUGGUCCAGCCCUCCGGGGGCUGAUGGAACUUGCAAAGCCCACCAGGGCCCUGCCUGAGAGAAGGCAAAGACAUCUGGGGGACCUUCCCUGUAACAGACUGAAGACUACCCCGGUGUGUGGCCGUCAGCCCCGAGAACCUGGAGUGCGAGGCACUGUGCCUCCCCCACUCUCAAAUGCUCAUCUCUGCCAGUGGAGAAGUCUUCUGUGAGCUGGCUUCAUGGGGCUUAGAGCAACACCUUCCAAACUUGUCUGGGCCCUCUGUGUGAAGAACACACCUGUUGGCAUCUCCAAGGAGCUCAGGCUGGGAAACAGGUAAAUGCACCAGGCAGGUCCAUGAAUGAUGACAUGUACCUGGAUUGUGAAGCCCUCUAUUUUUGUCUUAAAGUCUGCCAGUACAAGCAGCCCACCUGUGUGACAUCCCCAACGUCUCAGAUGUCAGACCACCUCUUCUCAAAAACCUCAAAGCCCAGGACACCUUUCCUAGGCCUCGGGCAGAGGAUGCUUUCAGGUGGUCAGGAAAGCAGAGAGAGAAAUGGCCUCUGAGGAGAAGAGCCAGCAGAGGUGCAGGACCACCAGCCUCCAGGUCCCCCGAGUCCCAGGCUCUCUCCUUGCAAACAGAACUCCACAAGGAUGUGUCCUGGGGUCCAUCACCUGGAGCCACUGAGAACCGUGGACAGGCUGACUUCACGCUUUUCCCCUCUUCUCUUCAUUGCCCAUGCAGUUUGCUCUAAUUUAGUUAUUUAGUCAGUUGUGUAAUAAUGCCUGUGAGCUCAUCAUCCAAAACAAAGCCAAGCCAGGCCAGACCCAUGCCAAUUACUGACAUUUCAUCCAUUGCCCCCAUCCCUGAAUCCUGUGCUCACUAUUCCAUGCUUUUCUCUAUAUUAUUUAAAUAUUUCUUUAUAUAAUGGAGAAUUCCAAAUAUACACAAAGUUAGAGACUGGUAUAGUGAACCCACAUGUCCUCAUUAUCUUGAUUUUAACUUUUCAGAUGCCCGAUCUUGUUUUAUUCAUUUCCUCUAUUUCCACAUUUUCUGAUAGUCAUACUGCAUUUGUAUGUGUUCCCAAAGGGUAUCUAGUUUUCAUUUUGGUUGUUCAACUUUAUCAGAGGGUGUCUUGCUCUCUCUACUUUUCUUCAGGGCUACUAUGGUCACUUAAUACUGUGUUGGUCAGAAUCAUCCUUGUUUCUGCCUGUCACUGUGGCUCAUUCAUUUUGAUGGUGUGUAAUAGUCCACUGUGUGAACGUACCUUCGUUUAUUCUCCACUCUCCCACUCAUGACCAUUCGUGCUGUUUCUAGCCUUUUGCUAGCGUGCACUUACGAAUAUUCUUAUAUGUUCUUGUCAUGUACCUGGUGUGCCUCUAGGAGUGGAAUUGUUCACUUUGGGAUUAAUGCUGGACUGGUAUCCAAUUCUCUCCAGUGCUGGUUAUUGAUAGCUUAUUAAUUUUUCCCAAUUCCUUUGCCAAUUAAAAUGGAAUCUCACUGGGGCCUUAAUAUGCAUUUCUUUGGGAGUUUUUAAUACAAUAAAAAC